AGCAGAGGCAGAGAGGCUCAGG
rnacentral:miRNA from 1 species